rnacentral:lncRNA from 1 species
UAAAGUUCUUAGUGUUAAAAUUUUCAUCGGGAUUCAGUUAACAUACAAUAGAUAUUAAAACCUGAUUGAUCAAAACAACAGAACUGUAUUAUAAAUUUUAGUGAGUACUUAUUAAACAUAAGAAAUAAAAUUUUAUUGAAUAGUCCUUUCUUACUGAAACUUAACAGGACUGUUUUUACAGUUGGUUUGUAUAUUUAUGGAUAAAUAUCACUUAUUGCUAGAAUAAGAGGAUUCAACAUCAAUUCUAUUUCUCAGUUUUGUUUUUAUAAAUAUAAGCAUUAAGAAACUUGGUUUACAUAAAUAAUUAGAAGGAAAUUAGAUGGAAAACAUUUUGCUUUCUCAAUGCCACUUAAUCAUUUGAGUGCCUUCUAAGUUAUAUUCAGAAAAUCACAUAGUGAUCCAUGUUAAAGUAAUUUUUAAUGAUCUUUGAAAAAAAUAUUUGGCCCUCUUUUAAUUUUCCUGAAGCAAAUCAUUAAACACCAUAAUGCUUGGGAAACACCAUAAUGCUUGGGAAAAGAUUUUUUUAAAAUCCUGUCAUUAAAGUCAUUUACUUUUGAAAUAUUUUAUUUUUAAUUGCCCCAUUUUUCCAGCCCUAGACUUUUUUAUACCCACAGUAAGUUCAGGCUGAGUGAGUGGCAUGUUCAUAAGAGAAGCACGACUGUGACAGGGGAAUGGGAAAUGGAGAACCAGCGUAAUGUCUCCAUUGCAGGUAAAUUUCAUACGGAAAUUAGGUAUCUGGAAAAAGAUUCCCUUAAAACUGAUUCUUUAUACCCUUAUAUCCUUAAAAGGCCUCAUGUACCUCAGGAGGCCUGUGUAUCUCAGUUUGAGGGCCAAUAUUCUCGUAGAGACAAAAAUGUAUAAAAAUAUAUACAAUGUGAUACUUCUUGAUACUAAAAAAAAAAUGCUAUAAAAGGAAGCAUAUGGUAAAAACCUGGAGGGAGAGUGCUAUGUGAGAUAAGGCAAUGAGAGAGGCCCCUGUGAGAGGGGCUGCCUAACCUGAGCCUGAAGGAUGAGCAUAGUUGUUUUGCAGAGCUGGUCAGGCAUGUUGUAAGUGGGAGGAACAGCAUGUGCAAAGGUCCUGUUGGAAAUAAGCUUGGCAUGUUUGAGUGGCAGAAAGAGGAUCUGUGGGGCUGGAGCAUGAUGACCAAGGGGAAGAGUGGAAGAAAGUGAGGUCCAGAAAUGGGCAAGGCCAUAUUUAUGAGGCCCUGAGGGAGCUGCACAUUAUUUUCAGCAUGAUUCAAAGCCAUCUGAGGUUUUAAGCAGGAGAAUGACAAGAGCUGAGUUUUGCUUUAGAAAUAUCUUUCUGGGUGCUGUGAGGUAGGGGCAGUGGAUGAUAGGGAAGUAAAAAUAAGCUAGCAAGUUGCAAGAUAGCUAUAGACUACUGCUGUCAUCCACGAGGGAAGUGACUGCAGCUUAGAACAGGGGACAACACUGAGGCUGAUAAGAAGAACUCAAUUUAGGAAAGCAUUUGGAGAAAAAGCCAACGAGAAUUGCUGAUGGGUUGCAUAUGCAGUGUGAAGAAAGAAAAAUAAUCUACCUGUAGAAUAAAUUCUAGAGGUGGAAUUGCUUAAUCAUGUCUAUGACAUAUUUUAAAAAAAAAACAUAAACUGAAGUGCUGGGCAGAUAUUUUGGACGACACACUAAGUGAUCAAGAACUCCAGUCUGAAAAUCUACCUGGAUAAGCAGUGAUAUGGACCCUACUCAUGGGCCAUUUUUCCAUAUCACCAUACAUGCCCCAGGCACUGAAAACUGCCAAAUAAACCUUCUUAAAAUGAGGUCCAUUUUCAAGGAACAACUCUUAUUGACACAGUUCUGAUCAGUCCAAAGUGUGCAACUAUCUAGUCUUAAGUAUGUUUUAUUUAAAUAAUGCCAGUAGGGAGUUGUGAAGCUAAAAUUAAUGUUUUGAAACUAUCCAUAAUUUUUUUAAAUGAAUUUUUUAUUAACCUUGCAAGAGACGUGAUCUAAAUUUUUAUCCUUUUCUUGCUAUAGAACAUAUUAUAAAAUUGUUGUAACACAAAAAGGCAAUCAAAGAGCAAGCAGCCAAAGGGUAGGAAAGAAGUAUUAUAGGUAUUAUAGAGAGUUGUCAGGCAGGUAAUUAAUAAAAUUUAAUUUUAUCUUGCUUGACUUUGUGAUUAUUGUGGUAUUUUUCAGUAAUUAAAAAUUUGUAAUUCAUUGUAGUUUCCUUUUCUCAGACUAAACAAAUACUUUCAUACUAAAUAUGUAUUUAAAUUUUGUAUUUUUUAUGUGAAAGAGGGCUCCCCAAAUUGUUUAAGCUUCAGGACCAUAAAACCUGGACCUGCUCCUGGCAAGUGUCAUCACUUAAUAACAUAGGAAAGACUUGACAUGGAGCAAAUGAUUGUUGUUGUUUGGGGAGAUGUAAUGUAGGGGGCAAUUAAUAGGGCUUUUUUGGCUUGGUUAAGCUAGAAAUGUCCAUUUACCAUCUUAAUGGAUGUAGGCAGUUGGAUAAAUGGGUCUGGAGCUCAAGAGUUCUGGGUUGGACAUGUAAGUUUUGGGUAUAAUUAGUGCAUAACUUUAAGAGACUGUGAAGAUUCCUAAGGUAAGAGUUUAUAGAGAAGGAAAAGAAGAGAAGAGGAUUCCUGACAAAGCUCUGAGGUCUUCAACAUUUAGAAAUUUAGUAUAAAAACAGAAUCAGCAAAGAGGGCCAAGCAGCAGCAGGCAAUGCCAUAGGAGGGAAACUAGGCAGGUGGUAGCCCAGAAACCUUGAUAAAGGAUUCCAUGGAAGAAGGGGAGUCAGUCAGGCCAAGCCCAGCUGGGAGGUUGUCUUAGUUCAUUUAAUGUUGCUAUAACAGAAUACCUGAAUCUGGGUAAUUUAUAAAGAAAGAAGUUUAUUUAGCUCAUGGUUCUGGUGGCUGGAAAGUCCAAGAUUGGGCAGCUGUAUCUGGUGAGGGGCUUAUGCUUCUAUAACUCAUGGCAGAAUGCAGAGCAGAAGAAAGCACAUGCAAACAAAGAGGCCAUGCAGGAGGAGUAAUCUCACUUUAUAACAACCUGCUAUUGCAGGAACUAAUCCAUUCCUAAGAGAGUGAGAACCUACCCACGACAUUAAUCUAUUCAUGAGGGAUUUGCUCCCAUGAGACAAACACCUCCCACUAGGCCCCAUCUCCCAAUACAACUGAACUGGCAGUUAAACUUCAACAUAAGUUUUAGUGAGGACAAACCACAUCCAAACCAUAGCAGAGGUCAAGAAAGUCAAAGGUGGGGUUGGUCAAAAGCCUCAGCCAUUGGUGACUCUGACAUGUGCCAUUUUCUUAGAGUGGUGGAUGAACAACUCUGGAGAGAAUUUAGGAUAGUCUUGGAGGUAAGGAAGCAAUGGACCGGGUGCAGUGGCUCCCACCUGUAAUCCCAGCACUUUGGGAAGCCGAGGUGGGCAGAUGACCUGAGGUCAGGAGUUCGAGACCACCCUGACCAACAUGGUGAAACUCCGUCUCUUCUAAAAAUACAAAAUUAGCCAGGCAUGGUGGUGCAUGCCUGUAAUCCCAGCUACUCAGGAGGCUGAGGCAGGGGAAUCGCUUGAACCUGGGAGGCAGAGAUUGCAGUGAGCCGAGGUCACGCCAUUGCACUCCAGCCUGGGUAACAGUGUAAGACUCUGUCUCAAAAAAAAAAAAAGAAGAAGAAGAAGAAAAGGAAAAGAAAAAGAGAAAGGAAGCAAUGACAGUGGAUAUAUUCAUCCUGCUUGAAAGUAUGGCUGCAAAGAAGAACAGAAAAGGGUGGUAGGAGCUGGAGGAGGUGUGGGUCCAAGGGGUGAAUUUGGUUUUGGUUUUUUAAUGAAUAAUAUUAAGCAUAUUUAUUUGCAAAUGGAAAUGAACCACUAGCAAGGAAAAACUGAUAUUGCAGGAAAGAAUGGGGAUAAUUGCAGAAUGAUCUAGAGUUUGAAUGGAAGCCUUUGCCUGAUCCAUUUUCUCUAUACAACAUGGAGAGAAUUUGGAAUCACAAAAUGACUAUUCUGACUAUCGGGGAUGGGGCACAGGAGAAGGAGUAAUAAAGAUUUGAGGUGAGAAAAGAAAUGUGAGGUAUUCUUGAAGGGAAACAUGACUUUGCUGUUUCUAUACUUUAUUACAAAAUUAUAAACUCUUUAGGGGAGGCCCUGUGUGUUAUACAUUUAUGGAAACCCCAUAGAGUCAGCAUAGCAUCUUGCAUACUCUAGGACUUCAAUGCGCUCCUGUUGAGUAGGUGGAUGGGUUGGAUGGAUGAGAAGUGCCUUGUAGGAAUCCAAAGGAAUAAAUUAAAAGACUUCAUCAAAUGGGGGAAAUUUCGAGUGAUGAGGAGGAUUCCAGAUAGGAGGGUGGCAUGAGUAAAGGUGCAAGUGUAGCUUCUCCUGGGAGGACUGUGCCUGGAUCUGAGGAGAGAUAUGUGUGUUUGAGAUGAUGGGAGAUGCAUUCAUAUGUGUUGGUGGGAUAAGCCCAAAUAGGUUAUGCCUUGCAAGUGAUGUUAAAGACUUUGGAUUAGCAUGUGAUUAGCAUGUAAUGCGGUAUCCAGGUUGAGAUUUUUUGGAACUUAGUUAAUACAGCCUGGACAAACAGAACAUUUAAAGCCACAAGUAGUUUUCAGUCAUUCAAAAUAUAGAAAUUUAAACUAGAAAGAUAAAGACUUCUGUUUUUAGGGAUAUCAUCUCAAGAAGUCUACAGUACGAAAAUGUAAAAUAAAUACUACUUUCUAAAAUGCAGCUACUAUUACCCCAAGAGGCUGGAGAUUAGCCUAGAAAGUACCAUUAUUAGACCAAUGUGUUAUCAUUCAAUUGCCUGGUAGGGAGUGGGGCACAGAGGAACAUGUAAAACCCCAAUAGACGGAGGGUGGUGUUUCUCUUGAAAGGAGUGAACAUCACCACUGUCAAUUGCCCUGGGAAGAAGUAGAUCCUAUGACAGGAAGUAAGGAUUGAGAAGGUAGACUACAGACUAGAGAGGAGGAGAAACUCAUCUCUUUCUGUGGGCCUCUGGUGAUGAGCCUGAUCAGGCUUUGAGUACUUUCAGUGGUGGGCAUGAGCGUGUACUUUGUAAGCAGGUCAACAUUUAGGCAGAAGGCAGUGGGUUGGCCUGCAGAUUCAGAGAAAUCACAUCUAAGUUCUCUAAGUUCUCUUCUUGUGCUUCCCCAACCCUUGAGUCCAUUUCAAUUCACUUUCAGCCUGGCCUAAGCAAGGUGGUAGGGAGAGAAGAACAUGCCUGGGACAUGUUUGGGUCCUGGUGGUGAAGGGCAGAGCAGAGCCCUUUCCUGAGGCCUGAAUGGUAAAAGCAUCAUACAUGUCACCAUGCGCCACAGGGCAGUGAUCCCUUGGGACCACAGGCAGUAGUGGCAAGGGCAUGAAGUAUCAUUAUUAAACAUAAGAGUCUGUCAUAGGGGAUUUUCUGAAAUAACUGAGGGAAACUCUACAAGAGCAGGUGGUAGCCAAAGUCAUAGUUUAGCAAUUUAAUGAAAAAAUUCUUAGUGUUUAAGCAGGUGAUGAUAAGUCAGUCCUCUAUCUCCACUCCCUGAAUUUGGAACCUUUAGAGAUUUAGAUACAGGAGACUAAAGAUGAAAACGUCAACUUUAUUACUACUAGCACUGGCUUGGAAAUUGUCAUAUACACACAGUAAACAACCAGACAGCAGACACACUCGCUCUGUUGGGGCAAUAUUCCUGGGGGAGACCACAAAGACAAGAAUAGCAGCAGGUGUGUGGAUCCCCAGUGCCCACUGCCUUCUAAAGAAGAACAAAGUGAUCGGUGGAAUCAGACAUCAACUUUCAGGAAAGGGACUCUGCCCUUUGGGCUGAGAAAUUUUAAAGCUGCAUUAAUAAAGAAAUGCCAAGCCCUCCUCUGGAGUAAGUAGAGGUCACAGUACAGUAUAAGGAUAAUAUAAGGUUCUGGCAUGGCAGCUCAGGGAUUGUGGCUGGAGGAACAUGAGCUCCUCCCAUUGCAUAACCAGAAAGCUAGGUCUAUGCCUGGCCAUUGCUGCUGUGUACUGUGGCAACUUCACAGUGUGAAGGAAAAAUAUCUUGGGCUCCCUAAAUCACUAAGCUAAAGGGAAAAGUCAAGCUGGAAACUGCUUAGGGCAAACCUGCCUCCCAUUCUAUUCAAAGUUAUCCCUCUGCUCACUGAGAUAAAUGCAUAUCUGAUUGCCUCCUUUGGAGAGGCUAAUCAGAAACUCAAAAGAAUGCAACCAUUUGUCUCAUAUCUACCUAUGACCUGGAAACUCGCUCCCUGUUUUGAGUUGUCCCACCUUUCCAGACCAAACCAAUGUUCAUCUUACAUAUGCUGAUUGAUGUCUCAUGUCUCUCUAAAAUGCAUAAAACCAAACUGUGCUCUGACAACUUUGGGCACAUGUCAGGACCUCCUGAGGCUGUCACAGGCACGUGUGCUCAACCUUGCUUGGUAAAAUAAACUUUCUAAAUUAACUGAGACCUGUCUCAAAUUUUCUGGGUUCACAUUAGCAUGACCUGUUCCCCCAGCAUUCAUGAUUGGGAAGCCACUGCCUUUCUCCUGGCCUGCUCAGGAGGCUAGGUCCAACCCUUGGGAUUCACUGGGAUUGGCUGCCUUCCACCCACAGCUAUAAUUCAUUUCCAAGGAGCUUUGCAUCCAGCUCCUUUUCUAGAAGGCUGAUGAGUGAGAAUCAGUCUUGGACACAUUAGGGCUUACCUUUCUGAGCCACCCCAAAUGAGCUUCCCACACCUUCUUCCCAAAUUGUCCUCACCUUCUCAGAUCUGCAGGCCUUCCAGUGCAGAGGGAAGAUCUGCCUAAGUAAGUUUACUGGUUAGAGGAGCAGAAAAUGUAUGUGUCCUGAAGCAAGAUGCUGUGAAAGAGAAAACCCAGAAAAGGCUAAACCUCAGUCCUUCUUCCAAAUCAUCAGCUUAGUCAUUCACCUACCCUUGGAGAGGGGAGCAAAGGAUAGAGAAGCUGUCAGAAAUAUUCUAGUUUUUCCUCCUGGGGAGGGAAGCACAAGUUUCUUGUCCUCUAUGGAAAUGUGCAGCAGCUUUGGAUCAAAAAUAAACUGGACAUGGAUGGAUGGUGGUGAUGGCUUCACAACAGUGUGAAUGUAGUAAACACCACCGAACUGUACACUAAAAACUGGUUAAAAUAGUACAUUUUAUGAUAUUUACUACAAUUACCCAAUCACUGUAAAAAAGGAACUGGAUCUAAUCAUGCUUUUGAUUUUAUUUUUGCUUUGUUUUGAAUAGUUAAUAUAUUCAUAUGAUUUUAAAUGUAAAAAACACAAAUGGCCCCUUCAUAAUCUUUUCCUAGCUAAUGCAGUUUCUUCUUCAGAGGCAAACAAUAAAAACAGCAUUUUCAUAUUCUUCCAGAGAUAUUUUACGCAUUCUCUAGCAAAUACAUGUUUUAAAAAUUUUUGACACAAAUGGUAUUGUAUGUUACACACUGUUCUGCAAUUUGCAUUUUAACUUAAUGAAAUUUCUUGGGGAAUGCUCCAUAUCAGUGUAUCAGAGUUCCAGCAUUCAUAGAGCUAUACGUUUUCCUAGAGCACAGAUUUCCGUAGUUGGCUUAACCAGUCCCCCUUAUGUGCAAAUAUAGAUGUUUUUACUCUUUUGUUGUUCCAAACAGUGAAUAUCCUCUUAUGUGUGUCAUUUCUCAUAUUUAUCUACUCAUAAGAUAAAUUCAUAGACAUGGAAUUGUCCAAUCUUGGUUUUAAUAGUUUUCAUUAUAGGCCAACUUGACUUUAAUGCUGUUGAGUAGACAUUUGGAAUGCAGUACUAACUGACCAAGACCUCUAAUCUAACAAGCUAUCCAGAAAACUGAUGAUGUCUUUCUUACUCACAGAUCAUUGUUCCAGUUUCAUAUGUGCACUAAGGUGGGAAAACUGUCAAACAGACCCCAAGAAAAUAAUGUCCAUUUUCAAAAAGCAACUCUUUCUGGCAGAGGUCUGAUUAGCCCAUAACACAUAACUAUCUGAUUAUAAAUGAGCUUUCUUAAAAUAAUUUUUAAUAUUUUUUCCCACUGUAAUUUUUCCAUGUUUCUAUGUAUGCUAUACAUUUUUGUUUUGUAACAAUUAAAGGGCCCUGACAGGUUAGCCAGAGAAAGUAAUAUUUAUUAUCUGUAUAUUAAGAUGAGAAAACAAGGAACAUAGGCCAAGGGAAGUUUCCACUUGUCCAAAGUCACCCAGCAAGUUAGUGGGAGAGCCUGAACUAAAAUGCAGGUCACAACCUAAUCCCAUGCUCUGUUCACUGAUCCAUAUUUGUCCUUUUUGCCAGUUCUCAAAAGUAAGUGAGCUGUUCCUAAACCUAUUGGGUCUAGAAGUGGUCUCAGUUUAUGGGCAGCUGACGAUGUCUCACUAUGAAGAACUUGUCCUGAUGGUGUGCAGCUGCUGAAGAUGUAUAGCAGGGAUCUUCCAUGGGAGGUCCAAGAAGGCUGAUAUCUUCCAGGCUUGCCUAUAGGUAUAUGUGGCUCACAUGCCAAGAUGGGAACAAGUAAGUCUGAGCUUGGAGAACGUUUGAUACUGCUAAGCAGAGAAGAACCAGGGACUGUGCUCCUUCUACUUAUAAAGGAAUAAAAUUAACUGUAAAGCAUCCUUGGGCAGGUCCUUCAGGAGGUAUUCCGGAAGAGGGCAUUGUUAUCAUAGGAGAUGACAGCUCCAUCCUGUUACUGCCCCAAAGACCUUCCAGUGGGACAAGAUGUGGAGGUAGAAGACAGUGAUAUUAAUGAUCCUGACUCUGCGUAGGCCUAGGCUAAUGUGUGUGUGUCUUAGUUUUUAAAAAAGUUUAAAAAGUAAAAGACAAUUUAAAAAUUUUUAUUAGAAUAAAGCUUACAAAAUAAAGAUAUAAAGAAAGAAAAUAUUUUUGUUCAGCCAUAGAGUGUUUGUGUUUUAAGCUUAGUGUUAUUACAAAAGGUUCAAAACUUUCAAAAAAUUUAAAAGUUUAUAAAGUAAAAAGUUAUAGUUGGCUGAGUGCGGUGGCUCACACCUGUAAUCCCAGCACUUUGGGAGGCUGAGGCAGGUGGAUCGUGAGGUCAGGAGUUCGAGACCAGUCUGGCCAACACGGUGAAACCCCAUCUCUACUAAAAAUACAAAAAUUAGCCAGGUGUGGUGGUGGGUGUCUGUAAUCCCCACUACUCAGGAGGCUGAGGCAGGAGAAUUGCUUGAACCCGGGAGGCAGAGGUUGCAGUGAGCUGAGAUGGUGCCACUGCACUCCAGCCUGGGCGACAGACCAAGACUCUGUCUCAAAAAAAAAAAAAAGUUAUAGUUUAAUUUUUAAGGUUAAUUUAUUAUUGAAGAAAAAUUUUUAAUGAGUUUAGUGUAGCCUAGGUGUACACUAGGUGUUUAUAGAGUCUACGAUAGUGUACAGUCAUGUCCUAGGCCUUCACAUUCACUCAUCACUCACUAACUCACACAGAGCAACUUCUGGUCCUGCAAACUCCAUUCGUGUUGAGUGUCCUAUGUAGGUGUAUUACUUUAUAUCUUUUGUACUAUAUUUUUACUGUAUUUUUUCUUUGUUUAGAAAUGUUUGGAUACACAAACACUAGUGUGUUACAAUUGCCUACAGUAUUCAUUCAGUACAGUAACAUGCUGUUGCAACCUAGAAGCAAUAAGCUACACCAUAUAGCCUAGGUGUGCAGUAGGCUACACCAUCUAGCUUUGUGUAAGUACAUUCUUUGAAGCUUGCACGAUGACAAAAUUGCCUAAUGACACAUUUCUCAGAACAUAACUCCAUCAUUAAGCUACAUAACUUAAACCCCUGCUAUGCAAUGAAACUCAGGUAGCAUAUUAAAAAAUAGAUAACUCAAGCAUUGCAUACAGAGAAGCCAUUCUUGGAACACCAGACAAUAAGCAUUGCAUUAGAUCAGAGCAGUUCUGGGCACAUCUAUGGUCAACAAGAAAUAUUCUCAAAGUCUGAACUUUGAGCUAUAGUAGACAGACAAACUAAGAAUUCCUCAAAGUUAGUAUUUCCAACCGUGAUGUAAGAGUCUAUUCUGAGUGUUGUGACAAACUAUCUCCAGAUCUCGCUAGAGUAACACAAUAAAGGUUUGUUUCUCACCCAUCACAGUCGGGUAUGGCUGUAUGAGGGAGGCGUGAGGAAGGAUCUGCUCCUCGCCCAUCACAGUCGGGUAUGGCUGUAUGAGGGAGGCGUGAGGAAGGCUCUGCUCCAUGCAUUCAUGGAAGUGGCCUUGAUCACCAGCCUAGCACUUCACUGGCAGGGCUCAGUCAAUGACAUCUAGUGGCUGGGAAGCUCGGAAAUGAGCUUUCCUUUGUGCUCAGAAGUAGGACUUGGGCGAACACAUAGCAGUAUCUCUGCUCCAUCCACAUAAACGGGCUCAGAACUUAAAUGGAAAGAGACGCUGAAGAGGGCAUCAAAUAUAUGAGAACUGGAACAGGGAAAGGAACAAAGAUCUGAACAGGAUCAGAUAGAGAUAUUUGCCUACAGACAAGUCCUUGGUUAAAAGACCGUGGAAAUUGAUUCUAGAACUAUAUAUUAUUUAUGGCUUGUGGGACGCAGAAAUGUGUUCUGGUUACCUGUGCAAUAAACUGUACAUACUUCUCAUUUCAGAGUUGGAGUCAAUCACUCUCUGUUGGCCUUUUUUGCUGUCUUUACAAAGUCAUGGGUUAACGAACCCUACUGGGUACUUCUAACAUGAGGUGUCUGGGCUGGGAGAGUCUUACUGGCAAUUGAUGUCAAGAUUCUUCGUCCAGAGGCACAGAGCAGAAAGGUUCUUGGUCCACAGACACCUUAAAACAAGGCCACCCUGGCCAGGUUUAUUCCCGUCUGGCGGCCUACACAUUUCUUAUAUCCUGGAAAAACUGGUGAGCAAGCAAGUGUCGACCUCAGAGUCUCUGACAGGGCUAUUUUGAAACCACACACCAUGAAAACUCUCAGGGAAGUUAAAAAACAAACAAUCAUAACCAAGGCAGUUUAGCUGUUUUGAAAAGAGAUGGAGCUUCAUUACUUCAAACCCAAAUUUCUGCAAGCCUGACAACCACCUUACAUCAAAAUAAACGUCUACCUGCUAGCUGAAAUGUUUAAAAACACAGUUACCAUGUGAGGUAAGCAGAGCUGACCUUGACUGGCAUCUCUAUCAGCAGCUCAGUGGGAUUAAAUGGCUUGCCAAUGUCACAAGAAUGUGAGCUCCUUUCUUCAUCUUUCUGCUCCAAUGUAGCAACUACCAAGGGGCCACCUGACAGAACAUGGCCGCUGCAGAGGAACCCUGCUACCUGCAGUUGGUGACAUGGCCUAGGUCCCAGAGGCCUCGUGGUGCCACACACACAAGAACAGGCACCAACAACCAGUGACAUUUUGACAGUCAAAUGGAACCUGUGACUGCCAUCUGUAGAUGUGCCAGCCAAGAAUGUGACCCUGGGGAAAGCCCUUCACACAGGUCUUUCCUUGGUGUAUUUAUAUUUAGUUCCAGCGAAAAACUGCAGUUGUUUUUCUCAGUGACAGGCAUCAAACGAUAACCGAAAAGAAUGAGAAAUAAUUGUUCCCUUUCUCCCUGUUAGGAGAUUGUACUCUUUGAAUUUGGGACCACAGCUCUCUGAACAGCUAGCUCUCCCAUGCCUGGCUCAUGAGACAUCAUAAAUGUUGAUUGUAUUAAAGACAAUUUAGAGGGAAAGGACUUGAAUUCUGGUUCUAAGCUAUUAAAAAUAUUUCUACAUUUUAAUUUUUAAAUUAAGAAAGAUUUUGUACAUAUGGAAAGGUGCAGAAUAUAAAACAGACAACCAUAUGCUUACCAUCCAGAUUAAACAACUGUUAACGUUUUCUCGUAUUUACUUCAGAUCACUUGAAACAAAAGAAAGACAAAAAGAUACGGCUAAAGCCUUGGCCCCCUUCACUCACAUCCCUCCCCUCCUCCCCUCUGCAGAGCAACUUCUGCCUGAAGCUGGUGUGUGUCAUUUCCAUGCAUGAUCUUGUGCUUUCAGUACAUAUUUGUAUAUCCAAAACAAUAUUUACUAUUGUUUUGUGUGCAUUCUUAAUUUACAUAAAUGGCAUCAUAUUGUAAAUUCUCUUGCAACUUGGCUUUUCUUACUCAACAGUACAUUUUAGGGACUUAUUUAUGUUGUGUGGAUACAGUGUAGACCUAGUUCAUUCAUUUUAACUUAAUUGUGAAAUACCAUAGUUUACUUAUCCAUUUCCCUAUUGGGUAAAAUUAGUUAUUGCUUUAUUGUCGUUGUUGUUUAUUGCAAUGAACAUGCCUGUGCAUGCAUCUUUGUGCACGUGUUUGUUAGUGUAAAUGCCCUGAAGUGAAAUUGCUAAUUAGUAGGAAAUAUACUUCUGCACCUUCCUUAGCAGAGACAAAUUGUUCUCCCAAGUGGUUGUACCUAUUUGAACUCAUGCUAGAUUAGAAAUCCCUGUGUUCCUACAUCCUUACCAUCAUUUGUGAGGCUUUCAAUUUUUCUUAUCCAAUAAGUACAAAUGACAUUUUAUUUUUUUAAUUCACAUCUCUCUAAUUAUUCAUGAGCUUAAGCAUUUUUACAUGUUUACUAACCAGUUGUGUAUGUGCAUGUGUGUGCAUGUGAGAGAGAGAGAGAAAUAGGUUUUAAUCCUUUGUUCUUUUCUUAUAAAUUUAUAGUUGUAUUUAUUCUGAAGUUCUUAUCUGAGUUGAAAAGUGUUCUCACAAAUGGUAUCUUGCCUUUUAAUUUUGUUUAUGUCAUGUUCUAUUAUAAAUAGCUUUUUAAUUUUCAUGUAGUUAAAUUUAUAUGUCUUUUCAAGGUUUGUGGGCAUUUGUCCCUUAGUUAAUAAAUCUGUUUCUAACUCUACAUUCAAGAUAUUCUCCCACAUUGUUUUCUAAAAAUUCUAAAUUUUUUUUCCCUUCACAUUUAAAUUUUUGUCCAUCUGGAAUUUACUUUUGCUUAUGUGAUGAGUAGGGAUCUAAUUUUAUCUUUUUCCAAGCAGAAAGUUAAUUGUCAAGGAUGAUCCAGACUUUCCCGCUGUUUGAAAUGUCAUUUCU